rnacentral:lncRNA from 1 species
GUAACUCUCCUCUUUUUGAGUACAAAAUUCUAAGUGUUUAAAGGUUUUGUAUAGAAGAACUAUACAAAUCCUUGGUAUUUCUAUUUUCUUUUUUACAUCAGUAAAAUGACCCCUUGUCUGAGGGAGGGUUGUUCUCAACCUGAUAAUAACAUACACAGGUCAAAGUACGGCCUUUUACACAGGGCUUUGAUACAGACCAAACAGCAAGCUAUAAAGGACCCCAAAAUUAUUAGCGUACACAAUUCGAACAGGAAAACCAACGAUCUAAUUUAUAUAUCCAAACGGGAAAAUACCAAUGAACAACAUC